CGCCUUGCAGUUUGAUCUCAGACUGCUGUGCUAGCAAUCAGCGAGAUUCCGUGGGUGUAGGACCCUCCGAGCCAGGUGUGGGAUAUAGUCUCGUGCUGCACCGUUUUUUAAGCCGGUCUGAAAAACGCAAUAUUAGGGUGGGAGUGACCCGAUUUUCCAGAGCCCCUGAGGAAAGGAAGACAACAAAAAGGAGAGUUAAUUUAUAGAUAAAGAUACACUUUUGGAGUUAUAAGAAGUAGUUCUCAGUGGCCAGUGAACUUUUCUAAAAUCAUAUGCGUGACCUUUAAUGGCUAAUGGUUUUCCAGCCUAAUGAGAAUAUUUUUAAAUGAGUCAAUUUCAACUCUAACAAUGACAAAAUGAAAAUAACUUAUAAAAAUAUUGCCUGCCACUUGGACUUGGAACGUGCCUAUCUAGACCUUCUGGAGCAUUUCAGCUUUGUUGCAGCCAAAAAAAAAAAAAAAAGCCUAUGGGUUUUUGGAAUCUUAAAUUCACAGAUCUUUAUUCCUUAAUACCUAACUCUAAGCUAAAACCUGAUACUGUCUACAUGCUUUAUUUCAGCUUCAGUAAAGCUGUGGUGAAACAAAAGCAGCCAUAAAUUUAAUGAACAGGACAUCAACUCUGGGAUUGUUGCAGAUAUUGGCAAACACUUCCCUUUGGCCACAAACUAUAAAAGCAUCAGAGAUGCUAGCUGGAUAAUCUGGGUCACUUACAGGUAACCACAGACAGGGCUUAUUAUUUGAUAGAAUUAUUUGAAAUUGAGCUUCUUGGUGAUUAUAUCUUUAUUUCUGACACAAAGACUCAGUAUAUUCUUAGCUUAUGAUUACUGUUGAAAGCUGCAAGUAGAGGGAAGGAACAUCACAAGGAAUGUGACUCCUUUACCCAUUCCUAAUGGGUUAGGAUCUCAACUACCUCCUGGGAACAACUAGAUGCUGUUGAUUAGUUGUGUUCAGCUUUCCAAGUUAGUUACAGGUUGCAACAGUAGACUCCACUUUCACCUCUCUGGGUACAUAAAUCUUAGUAAAACAAUUUGAUUGUUAAAUGCAGCCGUCCCCAGAAAGAGAUUGAUCUCUUAUAGGCUGUUCACUAGAUAAAAGAACAGGACAAGAGGUGAAAUUUUAUGAAUAUUCAGAAUUUUGACCUUGCCAAUUCCUGAAUAUGGUGUGUCUUUUUGGUUUGGUUGUAUUAAAAUAUUUUUCUACCAAAAUAAUUUUGUACUUCAUGCAUACGAUCCCUCCAGAAUAAAUGUCUAGGGGACAGUAUGGGAUAAUUAAAAAAAAUGAAAAGUGAUGAUUGCCAAGUGGGACAUUGAUUUUGUAACAAGGACAAAACAAAAUUUGGGCACCUAACGAGGCAUGGAAGAGGGAAUGAGCAUUAAUGAUCUUUCUUUUAAAAACUACUCCUAAAAGCUUUCCCUUUCUCCUAAAGAAAGAUGUCUGUGCUGCCUUUCCAAGAUGUUCAGAGUGCUUUAAAUUCAAACUGACAGCUGAGUCUACAACUGACAGCUUGCUAACUAUGAAAAAGAAGGAGGUGGCCUUAGCUCCUGUAAUUUUUAUGAAGAACACCUCCAGAUGUUGUCUACACACAUGCAAUGGAUAAACUGAUGUCAUGAACAAGGAAAAUUGUUAAAACUGACUGCUUUCAGGCACUCUCUCUGAAACCAAGGACAGAAUUAAAUCAAAUGGACUGGGCUGGGAACCGUAGAGGAGGAAGCCCCAUGGUGGGAGGCCACAUUGGCCCUAUUAACCUAUUCUACAUGACUAACAUAUAUCUUGUUUGGAUUACCUUAACAAUUGUAAAGUCUUUAUUUUCAGGGAUACCAUGUGUGACCUCUGAGAUUGUAUUUCUUGUGCAUACCCUAACUAUCAUGAUGCUGCCUCAGACCUGGAAGGUUUUUGGGUCAACUUCAACUUACUGGCUAGAUUUGUGCUGUGCCUGACUUGAUUCUUCAUGCUAGGUUAAAAAAAAAAAAGCUAAUGCAAAAACUUAAGUAGAAAGCCAACUGGAUUUCUAAGAUAGACCUUUAUGGUUACUGAUACUCAUUUUUGCUAGCAAAAUCCAGGACCCUAAAGAGGUAACUGAAAUCAGUACUGAGAUUGGUUUCACUCUGUUGCAUGAGAUACUCUGAUAAUUUUGUUGUAAAGAUGUUUUCCUUGACCAAGUCGAAGGGACAGGAGCCCAGGAGAUGGACUGUGCAAAAAAGAGUUAACAUGGCAAGCCUGAAACUGCUAACAUUAGAAAGGUCUACUUGCAAGGCUGGCCCCUACUGACAUCUGAAAUCUUCUAUUUCAGAGCGUUCCCACCAUUCCCUAACUGAUAAGAAUUGCCCACUAUGCCUAAAUAUUUUGUACAUACAAUAUGAUUUAUGCUGAACAACUGAUUUACUUCUGGGAAUCUGAAAUUUGGGUAUGUUGCCUAUGUAACUCUUUGUAAAAAACAUUAGAUUCUUAGGCUUAGAUAAAUUUCCCUGAUAGGCAGUAUUUCACUUGUGUUGUCACAAUUGCAUGUUGGAAGAAUUUACUCUUCUCUGUGUGACUCCAUGAAAUGAGGGCUCUGGGAAGCUUAUAUGUGGUUUCCUCUGAACUUGAUGACACAUGAUAAACAUAGAGCUACUUUAUAAUGCAGCAGUUUCACUACUAGAUUUAUUCAUAAAAGACAAUGUACACAUAUACAAAAACUUGUCCAUGAGUGUUCACAGCAGCAUUAUUCAUAAGAGUCAAAAAGUAGAAACAACCCAAAUUUCCAUCAUCUGAUAAAUGAAUAAACAAAAUGUGAUGUAUUUAUAUGAUGAAAUAUCAUUAACAAUAAAAAUGAAAACAUUACUGAUAAAUGAUGCAUCAUGAAUGAAACUUAAAACCACUAUACUAAGUGAAAGAAAUCAGUUACAAGAUAAUUUAUUUGUGAUUUCAUUUAUAUGAACUGACCAGAAUAAACAAAUUUAUAGAGGCAGAAAGUGGUUGCCUAGGGCUGGGGUGGAAAGCAAGAGAAAAUGACUGUUAAUGUGAUUUCUUAUUUUUGAGAUAAACAUGUUCUAGUAGUUUGUGGUUGUUGCACCACUUUGGAAACUGACUCAAAACCAGUAAAGUGUGCACUUUAAAAGAGUAAAUUUCAUGGUAUGCAAAUUACAUCUCAAUAAAGCUGCUAAAAUUUAUCCCAAGUGAAAUAUAUUUGUACAGUCUAACUCAAGUAUGUAUAAAAAUUCAAUUUGUAGGUAAUAAGAUAAAGUAUUCAAAGACCAUUCAGGAGAGAGAAACAACACUGAUUAUUGGAACAGAGAAUUUUAUAUAAAGAAUUAACAUUUAAAGUUGUUAAUGAAGUAAAUGAAUAUGUAAAAAAGAGCUCUAAAGUGUCUCAGAGGUAGUAAAAGCAGAAAGCAAAUAUCAACUCUAAAAUUGCGGAGCAAAGAGAAGAGGUAGAAUUAUCACAAUUUAGAAAAUUAGAGGAGGGUCCCAAGGCAGCUGAAACAGACCUCUGAUGAGAGAGUUUUGCCUACCUUGGGCUUUUGUCUCUGAAGUGGAUGUGAGGGGAAUGAAAAACCUGAUUCUGCAAGUGUUGAAGAAUCUGCAACAGGAUUCAACAGUUGCUAUGAAUGAAAUAGCUAUGCUAAGGUGAUGCUCACAGGAACACAAAAUAGGAAGACAGACUCUCUUUUUUUGUACUCUAGCCUUGCGGUUUAUUUCAAGUGCCCUUGUAGGUGAAGCAUUAACAAAUACCAGCUGGCAAAACAGAAAUGUGAUUUGAAGAAUUCCAGGUUCAGCGUUACUAAACUGAUUACAGUCGAAUGGGUUUCGAGUUGAAGACAUUAGCUGAAUAACUGAGGCAUAGGCUAUCACACUAACUUAAUAAUUAAAGGCAGAACUGUGAUUCAUUCCAAAAAUUGAAAGCUAUGGGUUUAAAUUUGCUAAUAAUUUCACUUGUCUAAUAUAGUGUAGAUAGAAAUGGAUUUCAUUUCCUGAUUUUGUCUAAACUUGCUGUUGUUGCAUUUUUCUUACUUUACAUGAGUGGCCUUCUGCACACAGGCUAAUUAUUUGCUUAAGUUCCACUAAAAAUCAUGAUAAAGUCUUGUACUUAUGAGUAAUUCAUAUGGCCUGCAUUGGUUUUAUAUGCUUUAUUUAAUUCAUGAUUUUGCUAUCUAUUCAUAAAGCCACAAAUCAAAUUACAAUAAAAAAUAGCUUGAAGUUGUAGAAUAAUUUUGCCAGAGAUCAUAAACUGCACGUUCGUAGUAAACAUUUUUGAAUGUAAAUCACCUAGUUACCUGUGUUCUACCUGUGUUCUACUUAUUCUGCUUAAGUCUAUAGAGUACAUUUGGAAACACUGGAUGAUUUUUAAAUUUUUCCAUGUGUGAAGUGUUUCCUUAGCUGAACAGAAAGAUUUUUUUAAAGGAGGAAAUUCAUGAAUUUUAAAUUGAGAUUUCUGUCAAUGUUUUUUUCCUCUUCAUAACAGUACAGAGAAAGCUGGUAAGAUGGACUAGUUAAUGAACCUUUUCCCACAAGCUGUAGAAGGAUAAUAAGAUUCUUGUUUAAGACGAAAGAAACAUAAUAUAUUCAGAAUGUAACUUUAAUAUUUGAACAAAUAGAAAAAUAUGUACAAUAAACAUUUGGUUUUAUAGAGGGAAUUGUGUCCACCACCAAAAUUAAUAAUUGAAGAUCUAAUCCCAAUAUGACUAUAGGUAGAGAAAGGACCUUUCAAGAGGUAAUUAAUGUUAAAUGAGGUCAUAAGAAU
rnacentral:lncRNA from 1 species